ensembl:lncRNA
CCCUGGUGCGAAUGGACUUCGGAAGCAGGGCCUGCACAACCUGCAUCUUCAGUGCUUUCUCCUCAGCGAUGUUGGAAGGGAGAAGAAAGAAGAAGAGAAUAAGAAGAAAACAAACAAAUCCAGGCACCCCAACCCCUACAUCAACUAAGCGCCGCACGCCUGAGAAGCAAGGCUCUCGCAAAACAGGGAUGCGCUCAGAACAGUAUCUUUGCACUCCAAUCAUUCACGGAGAUAGAGUGACUAGGACCCUAGGAUGACUAGGAUGCACGGAUUGCAGCUUGUGUGCAAAGCAGUGGGUUCCUGGCGUAAGGGAGCAGCACACGCCCUGUAGGAACACCCACCCACCGCUAACAGGCAGAGCUGACCUCCCCGCCCUCUCUUGAAAGCGCAGUUCUUGGGCCCUCUAGAAAUGGGUUGGCGUCCUUCCUCUCUGUAUGCCCCACCCUGAUAAAGCUGUGGAUUUUUGUCUGCAGUGAAAGUAUGCUAUCUGAAACCCCGACCCUCCCGGGGUUUUGAAAACCCCCAGCCUCUUGGGGCCCCCCUCCCCAAUCUUCACUCCCUCACACCAUCUUUUCCACCAUUUUGAUCAUAGAAUGCUUCCAAUCUUUUGUGAAUUUUUUUUUUAUUAUAAGAAAAAUCUAUUUGUAUCUAUCCUAACCAGUUUGGGGAUAUAUUAAGAUAUUUUUGUACAUAAGAGAGAAAGAAAGAAAAAAAUUUAUAGAGUUUUGUACAAAUGUUUUAAAAUGUGUAUAUCUUGAUACUUUAACAUGUAAUGCUAUUACCUCUGCAUAUUUUAGAUGUGUAGUUCACCUUACAACUGCCAUUUCCCCUAUGUGGUUUUGUAAAGAACUGUCCUCAUAGGUGAGAUUGAAAGGCCAUCAGAUGUACUUCAGCACCAAUGUGUCUUACUUUAUAGAAACUUUGUUAAUGUAUUAAUGAUGUUAUUAAAUACUGUUCAAGAAGAACAAAGUUUAUGCAGCUACUGUCCAAACACAAAGGGGCAGCCAGUUGGUUUCGAUAGGUUGCCUUUGGGGAAAUUUCUACCACUGCCCUUUUUUUUUUCUUACUGUUUUAUUACAAACUUACAAAAGAAAAUAUCCCGUGUAUAACCCUGUUUUAUACAAACUAGUUUCGUAAUAAAACUUUUUUCUUUUUUUACA